GACCUCGGAUCAGUAGG
rnacentral:rRNA from 1 species